UUCAACUCUCAGCACAGAGCAUGUUUAAAGCUGAGCAAAAUAUAAAUCUGGAAUUUGCCACUGCAAAUUCACUUUGUGUUUAGUAACUCAAUAUUAAUUAAUGUUUCCUGCCCACUAUGUUAUUUGUUUUCCUAUUUCCUUUCUUAAAAUGAUUAAGUGCUACUAUGGAAUGUUAAUCCCCCCAUGGCUUCUAAGUGGUACCAUUCACAGCAAUCUUAAUUGUUUUUACGUCCGUCCAUGUUAAACCAUCCUCAGCAGCAGGAAGUGAUGGUCCUAUGAGGUUAAAUAUGGGGACGUCAAGCUUUAUUCUGGACUUAUUUGCGCUGGUUUAAUGAGUAGAAUUAUCCUAAACAGUCACAACCAUUCUUUAUUCUUUAUUAACAGUUGCGUGGCUUUUUAAAUGGGAACCUAUAUUAACUAUACCCCUCGGAUAUGGGAAAUUAUACAUUUGCUGGAAUAAAACCUCUGGUUCAAAAAAUUAAGGUUUAGAAAUAUAAAAUCAGAUAAAUUUGGAAAGGUGGAAGGGACAUUUUUGCGGAGUGGGGUUGUGCCUGCACCAAAUCAUAACUGUGCUGAAAUUCAGUAUACCCACACUCUUGCUCCUGCAAUAUUGUUUAAUUAUGGUCACAUAAAGUUUACUAAAAUUAUGAGAUCAUCAGCCUUUGACUAUCUGUGACAGGACGCUUCUAAACGUUACCUCCAUGUUCCCCAAUCAGCUCGAAGCUUUCAGAAAUGUAAACACUAUACACAUCAUUACACACUACAGCAAAACAAUUAAAAACACAAUGCUCAAUUUGUGAGAAGGUUCUUUGUUUCAUAACUGCCAAUGCAUAUUUUUGAAACUUUACAGUAAUGGAUGUUCUUAGAUCUCUGCAGAGGAUUAGGCAUUUAGAUUUGAGAGUUUCAUAUGAAGAGUAUAAAUCUAUAGUAAAUUCUGCAUGUACAUUACUGUAACACAACUCAAUGCAAAAACAGAAUCUAUUGCACACAACAGUACUCUUGAAAACAUGAUCAGGCUGUGAAGUUUUUUUAUUUACUUUAUUCACACCACACACACACACCAAAAUCACUGUGCGGCAUCAUGUCGCUGAGCUGCAUCGGGCCACAUCACCUCAUCCACAUUGCAGGCUAUAUUGUCUCUUGCCAGGCACCGCGG